rnacentral:rRNA from 1 species
ACGAAUGGCGUAAUGAUGGCCAGGCUGUCUCCACCCGAGACUCAGUGAAAUUGAACUCGCUGUGAAGAUGCAGUGUACCCGCGGCAAGACGGAAAGACCCCGUGAACCUUUACUAUAGCUUGACACUGAACAUUGAGCCUUGAUGUGUAGGAUAGGUGGGAGGCUUUGAAGUGUGGACGCCAGUCUGCAUGGAGCCGACCUUGAAAUACCACCCUUUAAUGUUUGAUGUUCUAACGUGGACCCGUAAUCCGGGUUGCGGACAGUGUCUGGUGGGUAGUUUGACUGGGGCGGUCUCCUCCUAAAGAGUAACGGAGGAGCACGAAGGUUGGCUAAUCCUGGUCGGACAUCAGGAGGUUAGUGCAAUGGCAUAAGCCAGCUUGACUGCGAGCGUGACGGCGCGAGCAGGUGCGAAAGCAGGUCAUAGUGAUCCGGUGGUUCUGAAUGGAAGGGCCAUCGCUCAACGGAUAAAAGGUACUCCGGGGAUAACAGGCUGAUACCGCCCAAGAGUUCAUAUCGACGGCGGUGUUUGGCACCUCGAUGUCGGCUCAUCACAUCCUGGGGCUGAAGUAGGUCCCAAGGGUAUGGCUGUUCGCCAUUUAAAGUGGUACGCGAGCUGGGUUUAGAACGUCGUGAGACAGUUCGGUCCCUAUCUGCCGUGGGCGCUGGAGAAUUGAGGGGGGCUGCUCCUAGUACGAGAGGACCGGAGUGGACGCAUCACUGGUGUUCGGGUUGUCAUGCCAAUGGCACUGCCCGGUAGCUAAAUGCGGAAGAGAUAAGUGCUGAAAGCAUCUAAGCACGAAACUUGCCCCGAGAUGAGUUCUCCCUGACUCCUUGAGAGUCCUGAAGGAACGUUGAAGACGACGACGUUGAUAGGCCGGGUGUGUAAGCGCAGCGAUGCGUUGAGCUAACCGGUACUAAUGAACCGUGAGGCUUAACCUUACAACGCCGAAG